rnacentral:rRNA from 1 species
UACGUAGGGUGCAAGCGUUAAUCGGAAUUACUGGGCGUAAAGCGUGCGCAGGCGGUUUUGUAAGUCUGUCGUGAAAGCCCCGGGCUCAACCUGGGAAUGGCAUUGGUGACUGCACGGCUAGAGUGUGUCAGAGGGGGGUAGAAUUCCACGUGUAGCAGUGAAAUGCGUAGAGAUGUGGAGGAAUACCGAUGGCGAAGGCAGCCCCCUGGGAUAACACUGACGCUCAUGCACGAAAGCGUGGGGAGCAAACAGG